AGUUAUAACAAUAGCAGCAAAGUCAAAGUGGAAAGAAUUCUCUCUGUAUAAGUAUUUAUCACUAAUGUCAUAUUAGAAUGGCAAUAUUCAACAACUAUAACUUAUAUCAACUACUCACUCUCUCCAUAUUUGGAGUUUUAAUUUUCUAUGUUGACAUACAUGUUUAUGUGCAAUAUACUCAGGUAUAUACAUAAAUAAAGGUAUAUUUGUUCAUUUAUCGCGAUAUUCGACGACCAGAUAUCGCAUGUUUUUCCUGUAUCGUGCAGCCCAAGCUGUCACACACACACACACACACACACAGAGAGAGAGACAGCAGCGUGUACAGACUGUAGGGUAAUUGCCGUGAUAAGUGUGUGACCGUGGCGUUAGCCCACGAGCUACAGUGUUCACCUCGUUUUUUUCUUGUUUUAAUCCGGUAGUGUCGCUGCUAGCUCGGAGUAAGCUAACGACAGUCACAGUGGAGAGACAGAGAGACAGAGACAGAGACAGUAAACAUGCCGGAGACACAAUGAGACAAUGAGACAGCACUUACUUUGGAGACCAGCCCUUCCAUUUCACCAGAUCACGUGCAGACAGAAAGAAGAGGAAGAAGAAGAAGAAGAAGAAGAAGAAGGAGGAGAAGAAAUGGCUCUGGCACAAACAGCAGCAGCGCCUUCAGCCUCUGGAUGCGAUUGGUCUCUGCGCGUCUGCAGAGCAGCGGCGCUGCCGCGGAACCAACACCAUUGGCUGCCUUGUAUCCGGGCAAGAUGUAGACGCAGGAUCCUGGUGAGGAGAACGAGCACAUUUUACACAGACACUCGGCAGCACGCGCGCGCGCGCGCACUCAGAGCGGAGAGAUAAACGGAUUCAGAUUGUCCUUGUUCUACAGACGCUUGGAAUGAUCAGUAUUUUGGGUGUGACGUUCACGAUGAUGCGCCAAUGAAAGGUCAUUCUUCAUUAGAUCGGAAAGAAAUCAGCAGCUGAAUGACUUCCAUGGUCCUAAAGCAACGGUUACACACGAACACAUCACAUACAGUAUUUAACACGUGGACACAUAGAUAUAGAAACAGCAGAGCUACAAUACACUGUAAAACAUUUAUAAAAAGAGAACGGACAACAGAGGACAGAGCAAGUCCUCUUUAUUUAGGGAUGAUUGAUUUGACUCGUUAGCACGGAUUCAUCUGUUUAACCCACGUUCUUUAGGAAGUCAUUAAAACACGUCAUCACCA